GACGAACGCUGGCGGCGCGCCUAACACAUGCAAGUCGAACGAGAGAGAAGGAGCUUGCUUCUUCGAUCGAGUGGCGAACGGGUGAGUAACGCGUGAGGAACCUGCCUCAAAGAGGGAGACAACAGUUGGAAACGACUGCUAAUACCGCAUAAGCCCACGGGUCGGCAUCGACCAGAGGGAAAAGGAGCAAUCCGCUUUGAGAUGGCCUCGCGUCCGAUUAGCUAGUUGGUGAGGUAAUGGCCCACCAAGGCGACGAUCGGUAGCCGGACUGAGAGGUUGAACGGCCACAUUGGGACUGAGACACGGCCCAGACUCCUACGGGAGGCAGCAGUGGGGAAUAUUGCACAAUGGGGGAAACCCUGAUGCAGCGACGCCGCGUGGAGGAAGAAGGUCUUCGGAUUGUAAA
rnacentral:rRNA from 1 species